rnacentral:rRNA from 1 species
GAUGAACGCUGGCGGCGUGCUUAACACAUGCAAGUCGAGCGGAAAGGCCCUUUCGGGGGUACUCGAGCGGCGAACGGGUGAGUAACACGUGAGUAAUCUGCCCCUGGCUUUGGGAUAGCCACCGGAAACGGUGAUUAAUACCGGAUACGACCACUUCUCGCAUGGGAUGGUGGUGGAAAGUUUUUCGGCCAGGGAUGUGCUCGCGGCCUAUCAGCUUGAUGGUGAGGUAAUGGCUCACCAUGGCUUCGACGGGUCGCCGGCCUGAGAGGGUGACCGGUCACACGGGGACUGAGACACGGCCCAGACUCCUACGGGAGGCAGCAGUGGGAAAUAUUGGACGAUGGGCGGAAGCCUGAUCCAGCAACGCCGCGUGAGGGAUGACGGCCUUCGGGUUGUAAACCUCUUUCAGCAGGGACGAAGCGCAAGUGACGGUACCUGCAGAAGAAGCACCGGCCAACUACGUGCCAGCCGCCGCCGUAA